GGACCCGCACAAGCAGUGGAGCAUGUGGUUUAAUUCGAUGCAACGCGAAGAACCUUACCCAGGCUUGACAUAUAGUGGACCGCCACAGAAAUGUGGUUUUCCAUAGUGACCGCUAUACAGGUGCUGCAUGGCUGUCGUCAGCUCGUGCCGUGAGGUGUUGGGUUAAGUCCCGCAACGAGCGCAACCCUUGUCAUUAGUUGCCAGCAUGUAACGAUGGGAACUCUAAUGAGACUGCCUAGGUUAACUAGGAGGAAGGUGAGGAUGACGUCAAGUCCGCAUGGCCCUUAUGCCUGGGGCUACACACGUGCUACAAUGGCCGGUACAGAGGGCAGCGAAACCGCAAGGUGAAGCAAAUCUCAUAAAACCGGUCCCAGUUCGGAUUGUAGUCUGCAACUCGACUACAUGAAGUUGGAAUUGCUAGUAA
rnacentral:rRNA from 1 species